ACUGCUACUGCUACCACACAGCAAAUUGAGGAGUGUUAAUUUUUUGGUGUUGAUGAGAAUCUUGAAGUUGGAGUGUCAAUCUUGCACUAGUUGGAGUUCUAACACUGCAUUUUCUUAAAAAUGUUCAAUUUAACACUGGAUCAUGAAAGUGUCGUAGUUAAAGUGGAGUGUUGAAAAUGUUUAAAUCGUGUUAGUGUCACAGACAUUCAACACUUCCACACUCCAUUUAACACCUAACAGUGUUCACGUGUCUUAAGCUCCGCCCACGGACAUUUCAUUUAGACUCCACCCCUCACUUCACGUUGCUGAAAUGAAAAGCAGAUGGAAGAAGUUGACAAUUAGGAAUCAUUUUGCAUCAGUAGUGUUGCUGUGAGCUGAAUCGGCACUGCCUGUGCAACAUUUGGCAAAGUAAGUGAACGCUACGUUAUAUCUUCAUUUUGAAUGAGCUAAUGGCUAACUAGCUAAUUGGCACGAGGAGCCCCCACACGUAGGCCUGCUGGCCCCCAGCAAAGGACUUGAUAUGCUGUACAAGAUACAAGAUAUCAAGAAGAAUGCAUCUUUAUUUUUCUUCUUGAUUCGCAGAAAGCCUUUGCUUGAGUCUUACAUGAAUGUGAGGUGGGUGGAGAUGUCUUUGAGCUUGUCAAGUCAGGUGUUUUGACUUUCAAGGUCCUUUUAUCAGUGACAGGUAAGGAUGUGAAAACAUUUGAAAAUGCAUGAGGUGGUUUAGAUAUCACAGGCAGUGUGGACCCAUCAGGUACCUUGGUUUUGUCCAAAUGAGAGAUUGUUGUUGUGAUCUUUGAGGCCUCAAAAUGUAUUUUUGGUCUCACUUUACAAUAAGGUACACAAAUACAGUAGUUACUGAGGAACUAAUUACUAAAGCACAAAUUUACAGUAGUAGAGGAUCUAAUGAGGAACUAAAAAGGAACCAAUGAGCAGAGGAGUUACUGAGGAACUAAAACACAUACAUUUAGAGUAGUUACUAAAACUGAGUAGUGGAUAGGGUUAGAAAGGUUUGUUCCUCAUCCUGCACGACUGUAAUUUUACGUACCUUAUUGUAAAGUGAGACCAUAUUUUCAUUUGAUAUUCAAUUUUUAGCCCCUUUUCUAUAGGUUGAAAUUCCCCCCAAUUUUUUUGUUUUAGUUGUAAUUAGUGUUUUGUAGAGUAAGACAUUCAUUUGAUAGAUGAAGCAGACUCCACUAUCCCCAGCUUCACCCCAGUUAUUGCCAGUUGGUGGCGAGUCUCCACUCUUGCCUGCUACAUCCAUUCAUCAGGUUCGACAAUUUAUCCUUCAGCCCACAAGAGGAACCCAACAGAACCAAUGGAUCAGGAUGAAGCUAGACAGAAAGUCGGUGUUUUGAGGGCCAAUCCGAAAGGUGAGGAAAUCUUCAAGGAGCGCAACAAGACUAAAACACUACCUGAUGCAACGUGUAAACGGAUGGUGAACAUCCUGGUUGCAGAUAUGAUGGAGCUGCAUGGGUCACUUCCCCCUUCCCAUUAGAACAGUCAUUCCACACUGUCAUCAACUGCAGUAAGACCAUGUAGUGUGGGAAUGGUUCUGUGAUCAUUAACUAUGACGUGUUUUGAAAGGAGGGUUCCGCCAUCAUGUGUGACGACAAAUUACGCCCUGAGAAUUGUGACUGGUUUUCUAUACAUCAAAGAUCCAUUCUCCAAACCUGGAUAUGAUGCUUAGCUUAGCGGCAGUGGCUCAGGAGGUAGAGCAGGUUGUCCAGAAAUCGUAAGGUUGGUUGAUCCUUGCUCCCUCCACCCAGUCACUGUUGUGUCCUACACUUCUCCUGGCUGUCAAAGUUGUUCCAAGACUGUUUCUUCAGGAUGGUCCAAAAACCACAGGAGAACAUCUGUUAACUGGUCAACAGCUGUUUGAUGAGGAGUGCAGGGAGGCACUACCUACAAUAAGACAUUCAAACGAUGAAUCCGUGGUCAAAGAAGAUGAGAGCAACUUUCCAGUAUCGACAGAAUAUGAUCCAAGCACAAGAUGUAUCAUCGUCUGUCCUCUGUGUUCCCUAGCUUCCUUGAUGUUGCUGGAUUGAUUGACCAGGAUUUCUCAAUGAUGUUAGCUGAUGAAGUAUCUCAGAGGUUCCUGGCUAAGUGGUCAACUGUCUUCAAAACAAAAGUCCUUGCAGACUGCAAGACUCUCCCGCAAAAGCAGAACAUUGAUGAGUUGCUGUCAGGAACUGAACCUCAACCUGAUGACAGCUGUGGCUGGGGCAGUGAUACAUCCUCCAACCUUCUACUCCUGCAUCUGCUCCCUCUGACUUCUCGAGGCCAGGAAAAAAACGGCAAAGAUCAGAUUGUCAAGCAGCCAACCAUCUUCUCAGACAUCUUAAGGAAGGAGCCAGUGUGACCCCCUUCCGAGACUUGACACAAGACAAGCAUUUCUCCUGUGCAUCAGUGAGCGAAGGUGACAUCCAGAGGUUCUACAUGAUUGACCAAAAGCCGGUUCCAUGCAAGGCACAUACAUUUAUUGCAUCUUUUGAUGAACUGUUCAAAGCUCGCUAUGUCUUCAGUCUCUCGUAUGGUUAAAAAUGGAUAAGAGCAAACAUUUGGGUCUGAAUGCUGCCCAGUCAUGGUGUCUUCUAUGUAACACUCCACUUAUAUUUGGUGAUGUCAUUGAAAGGAAGAAUGAUCACUGGAACUUCCUCCUCCUUUUCAUGCAGAUUGUCAACAUACCUGUAGUGUUCUCCUACACCAUAACUGAUGGAAUGAUGCUUUACUUGAAACAUCUGAUAAGUGACCACCACACUCGGUACAAAGCAUUGCUUCCUGGUAAGAAAUUGAUUCCCAAGCAUGGCUUGAUGAUACACUAUCCAAGAUGCAUACAUAAAAUUGGCCCUCUUAUCCAUACGUGGUGCAUAUGUUUUGAAGCCAAACACAAUUCUUUCAAAAGGUGUGGUUAAGAUUUUCAAAAAUCUCAGUCAUUUGUCGUGGCCUUUCACUAUGAAAAUUAUUUUAGAAGAUUUGCAUUUGGCCCUACAACAUCAAACGAUCUGCAACUUGAAAGGUGGGGAGGAACGUGGUCAGGCAUGAUGUCUGCAAGCAUCUUCCAAGUGUGUCAAGUACCAACUGGGUGAGAAGUUACGGUAUAGAGCACCAUGUUGGUGUGUUCAUAUGUACUGGAUGUAGCUUUGAGCUACCUGUGUUCAAGAAGAUCUGUGAUAUAAUAAAACACAAAGAAUGUGCUUUCAUAAGAGCCUGUAAUGUAGAAACGAUGUACUACGAUGACCUGUUUAACACGUACUGCAUAGAAGACCAAAUGCUUGGUUUUCUGUCGUGUGUUUAAAUGAACUGACUCAUUUCAGACCAUUUGACAAGCAGCGCUCUAAUGACAAUUGUCAAAGAGCAUCCGUAGUGCCCUGCUGUUAUUUAAGCUACUGUCUGUUGGAAAUGUUUUUGAAUAAAAUGUAUGA